CCUACGGGAGGCAGCAGUGAGGAAUAUUGGUCAAUGGACGAGAGUCUGAACCAGCCAAGUAGCGUGAAGGAUGACUGCCCUAUGGUUUGUAAACUUCUUUUAUAUGGGAAUAAAGUGAUCCACGUGUGGGUUUUUGUAUGUACCCUAUGAAUAAGCAUCGGCUAACUCCGUGCCAGCAGCCGCGGUAAUACGGAGGAUGCGAGCGUUAUCCGGAUUUAUUGGGUUUAAAGGGUGCGUAGGUGGUUUGUUAAGUCAGUUGUGAAAGUUUGCGGCUCAACCGUAAAAUUGCAGUUGAAACUGGCAGUCUUGAGUAUAGUAGAGGUAGGCGGAAUGCGUGGUGUAGCGGUGAAAUGCUUAGAUAUCACGAAGAACUCCGAUUGCGAAGGCAGCUUACUAGACUGUAACUGACACUGAGGCUCGAAAGUGUGGGUAUCAAACAGGAUUAGAUACCCUAGUAGUC
rnacentral:rRNA from 1 species